UGAUUGUCAAACUGACGUACUUCUUCCGGUAACCAGUCGAGCGUCCUGAACGAUUGAUAGGUUUGUUAAUGAGAGUUUGAAUCCUAUGGUCUACUUUUGAGAGCGGUAACUAGUGUCUAAUUUACAUAUUUAGGCUGUCUAAAAUCUUUUCAAAAAAGAUCAUGAUCUGAAAAAUGUUUAAAAAGAAUUUAUUUGUGUAGAGAAAAUAAAAGAUAAUAAUCUUUAAAGGAUUAUUAAUAUUCUAAAUAAAGAUAACUUUUUAACAAUUUUGAGGUUGUGCAACGUUUAAUGGAUGGAUUGCGUGCCACUAACAAUUGGUGCUUUCUUUUGAUUCGCAUUCUUCAAAGAAUAAUUUCUCAUGAUGUUCGCUUCGUGGACCUUUAACAUUCAUUUCAUUGCACGAAAAUAGAUGUUUGCUUAGUAUGAAGAAAUUCGAAACAAGAUAAAAGUAAACAGAUUGAUCAAAUUCAAGGAGAUUGUUAUAAUUCGAAAAACGAUAUAACAAUAUUGACAAACGAUACUUAAAGCGGGUGAAACUAUCCAAAGCAUUCAUUCUUCAACAGGCCAUUGUUCUAUUUAUCGGUAUACAAGUACGAUCUUGCAAUUUCCUGCGAGCAAAUCUCGUUUCAUGAUUCUUUUUCUACAUGAUAUAGUAGGAUUGGUUUUGAAAUCGAAUUUAAAAUCCUGAAAAUAUUGUUGAGGCGAGUAUUUUGUUUAAAUUUCACGCAAAUAGUUAAAUACAAGUAAAGAAAAUUUAAUAUUGGAUAUUUUUAAAACUGUAAUAUGGAUCAAAAAAUAUAAAAUAUUUUAUAUUUCAUUUGCAAUUUUGAUAAAAUUUGUUCAUGAUAAUUACUUGCAAGAACUUAUACAUAAUAAAUUAUAAGUUAUAUAUAAAUAUCAAAAGUAAUCAUUCAUAGACAUAAUUCAUUUUGUUGAAUUAGAAUAUUGUAUUUGUAAUAAAAUAAUUAUUUUUUUAAAUAUUUCAUCAAACAUGUAUUGUUCACAGCAAGUACCGCUAGAUUCAUCGUAGCACAUUUACUAUAUGUGUAUCUAUAGUUACUAGUAGUAAAUACCAACCAGUUGGAUGUUACUAUUUUACGAUUAUGAACUACAUCGACUAGUCGGUCAAUUGAUAAAUUUAUUGUUUUCCAUGCACUUAAUCACUGUAACAUGACCGAUAUUUUGGAUUUUAAAUGAAAAUAAAAAUAUUUCAUAAUUAUUAUACAA
rnacentral:lncRNA from 1 species